CUCCAGACUCCUACGGGAGGCAGCAGUGAGGAAUAUUGGGCAAUGGGCGCAAGCCUGACCCAGCAACGCCGCGUGAAGGAAGAAGGCUUUCGGGUUGUAAACUUCUUUUAAGAGGGAAGAGUAGAAGACGGUACCUCUUGAAUAAGCCACGGCUAACUACGUGCCAGCAGCCGCGGUAAUACGUAGGUGGCAAGCGUUGUCCGGAUUUACUGGGUGUAAAGGGCGUGCAGCCGGAGAGACAAGUCAGAUGUGAAAUCCACGGGCUCAACCCCCGAACUGCAUUUGAAACUGUUGGUCUUGAGUAUCGGAGAGGCAGGCGGAAUUCCUAGUGUAGCGGUGAAAUGCGUAGAUAUUAGGAGGAACACCAGUGGCGAAGACGGCCUGCUGGACGACAACUGACGGUGAGGCGCGAAAGCGUGGGGAGCAAACAG
rnacentral:rRNA from 1 species